GUCCCCGUAGUUCAACGGAUAGAAUGCAAGGUUGCGGACCUUGAGAUUGGAGGUUCGAAUCCUCCCGGGGACA
rnacentral:tRNA from 2 species